UCAGCUCUCUUUGCCUAUUGGCUUAGAUCAAGUGUAGUAUCUGUUCUUUUCAGUUUAAUCUCUGAAAGUUUCCGUCCAGGAAACACUUUGAUUAUUCCUAUUUUUGAUGUCCGUGACUU
rnacentral:snRNA from 1 species